rnacentral:misc_RNA from 1 species
AAGUCGUAACAAGGUUUCCGUAGGUGAACCUGCGGAAGGAUCAUUAUGAAUUUGGAACUUGUGUUGGCUUGUUUCAUUUAUUUGAACGCCUCGCAAUUCUUUUUUCUGUGAACUGGGCGCAACUUUUCAUUCACUCACUCAUGUAUCAAUUCAUUUUGAUACAUGUGUGUGUGUUCUGAGAGUUUGCUCUUUUUUUGUUUUCUUGUAUUAUUCCACUUUUUUUUUUGAGUAAUUCUUGCAAAAGAAUGAAAAAAAAAUAUAAAACCAAGACAACUUUCAGCAAUGGAUCUCUUGGCUCUU